rnacentral:rRNA from 2 species
GGGUUGUGAGGUUAAGCGACUAAGCGUACACGGUGGAUGCCCUGGCAGUCAGAGGCGAUGAAGGACGUGCUAAUCUGCGAUAAGCGUCGGUAAGGUGAUAUGAACCGUUAUAACCGGCGAUUUCCGAAUGGGGAAACCCAGUGUGUUUCGACACACUAUCAUUAACUGAAUCCAUAGGUUAAUGAGGCGAACCGGGGGAACUGAAACAUCUAAGUACCCCGAGGAAAAGAAAUCAACCGAGAUUCCCCCAGUAGCGGCGAGCGAACGGGGAGGAGCCCAGAGCCUGAAUCAGUGUGUGUGUUAGUGGAAGCGUCUGGAAAGGCGCGCGAUACAGGGUGACAGCCCCGUACACAAAAAUGCACAUGCUGUGAGCUCGAUGAGUAGGGCGGGACACGUGGUAUCCUGUCUGAAUAUGGGGGGACCAUCCUCCAAGGCUAAAUACUCCUGACUGACCGAUAGUGAACCAGUACCGUGAGGGAAAGGCGAAAAGAACCCCGGCGAGGGGAGUGAAAAAGAACCUGAAACCGUGUACGUACAAGCAGUGGGAGCACGCUUAGGCGUGUGACUGCGUACCUUUUGUAUAAUGGGUCAGCGACUUAUAUUCUGUAGCAAGGUUAACCGAAUAGGGGAGCCGAAGGGAAACCGAGUCUUAACUGGGCGUUAAGUUGCAGGGUAUAGACCCGAAACCCGGUGAUCUAGCCAUGGGCAGGUUGAAGGUUGGGUAACACUAACUGGAGGACCGAACCGACUAAUGUUGAAAAAUUAGCGGAUGACUUGUGGCUGGGGGUGAAAGGCCAAUCAAACCGGGAGAUAGCUGGUUCUCCCCGAAAGCUAUUUAGGUAGCGCCUCGUGAAUUCAUCUCCGGGGGUAGAGCACUGUUUCGGCAAGGGGGUCAUCCCGACUUACCAACCCGAUGCAAACUGCGAAUACCGGAGAAUGUUAUCACGGGAGACACACGGCGGGUGCUAACGUCCGUCGUGAAGAGGGAAACAACCCAGACCGCCAGCUAAGGUCCCAAAGUCAUGGUUAAGUGGGAAACGAUGUGGGAAGGCCCAGACAGCCAGGAUGUUGGCUUAGAAGCAGCCAUCAUUUAAAGAAAGCGUAAUAGCUCACUGGUCGAGUCGGCCUGCGCGGAAGAUGUAACGGGGCUAAACCAUGCACCGAAGCUGCGGCAGCGACGCUUAUGCGUUGUUGGGUAGGGGAGCGUUCUGUAAGCCUGUGAAGGUGUGCUGUGAGGCAUGCUGGAGGUAUCAGAAGUGCGAAUGCUGACAUAAGUAACGAUAAAGCGGGUGAAAAGCCCGCUCGCCGGAAGACCAAGGGUUCCUGUCCAACGUUAAUCGGGGCAGGGUGAGUCGACCCCUAAGGCGAGGCCGAAAGGCGUAGUCGAUGGGAAACAGGUUAAUAUUCCUGUACUUGGUGUUACUGCGAAGGGGGGACGGAGAAGGCUAUGUUGGCCGGGCGACGGUUGUCCCGGUUUAAGCGUGUAGGCUGGUUUUCCAGGCAAAUCCGGAAAAUCAAGGCUGAGGCGUGAUGACGAGGCACUACGGUGCUGAAGCAACAAAUGCCCUGCUUCCAGGAAAAGCCUCUAAGCAUCAGGUAACAUCAAAUCGUACCCCAAACCGACACAGGUGGUCAGGUAGAGAAUACCAAGGCGCUUGAGAGAACUCGGGUGAAGGAACUAGGCAAAAUGGUGCCGUAACUUCGGGAGAAGGCACGCUGAUAUGUAGGUGAAGCGACUUGCUCGUGGAGCUGAAAUCAGUCGAAGAUACCAGCUGGCUGCAACUGUUUAUUAAAAACACAGCACUGUGCAAACACGAAAGUGGACGUAUACGGUGUGACGCCUGCCCGGUGCCGGAAGGUUAAUUGAUGGGGUCAGCGCAAGCGAAGCUCUUGAUCGAAGCCCCGGUAAACGGCGGCCGUAACUAUAACGGUCCUAAGGUAGCGAAAUUCCUUGUCGGGUAAGUUCCGACCUGCACGAAUGGCGUAAUGAUGGCCAGGCUGUCUCCACCCGAGACUCAGUGAAAUUGAACUCGCUGUGAAGAUGCAGUGUACCCGCGGCAAGACGGAAAGACCCCGUGAACCUUUACUAUAGCUUGACACUGAACAUUGAGCCUUGAUGUGUAGGAUAGGUGGGAGGCUUUGAAGUGUGGACGCCAGUCUGCAUGGAGCCGACCUUGAAAUACCACCCUUUAAUGUUUGAUGUUCUAACGUUGACCCGUAAUCCGGGUUGCGGACAGUGUCUGGUGGGUAGUUUGACUGGGGCGGUCUCCUCCUAAAGAGUAACGGAGGAGCACGAAGGUUGGCUAAUCCUGGUCGGACAUCAGGAGGUUAGUGCAAUGGCAUAAGCCAGCUUGACUGCGAGCGUGACGGCGCGAGCAGGUGCGAAAGCAGGUCAUAGUGAUCCGGUGGUUCUGAAUGGAAGGGCCAUCGCUCAACGGAUAAAAGGUACUCCGGGGAUAACAGGCUGAUACCGCCCAAGAGUUCAUAUCGACGGCGGUGUUUGGCACCUCGAUGUCGGCUCAUCACAUCCUGGGGCUGAAGUAGGUCCCAAGGGUAUGGCUGUUCGCCAUUUAAAGUGGUACGCGAGCUGGGUUUAGAACGUCGUGAGACAGUUCGGUCCCUAUCUGCCGUGGGCGCUGGAGAACUGAGGGGGGCUGCUCCUAGUACGAGAGGACCGGAGUGGACGCAUCACUGGUGUUCGGGUUGUCAUGCCAAUGGCACUGCCCGGUAGCUAAAUGCGGAAGAGAUAAGUGCUGAAAGCAUCUAAGCACGAAACUUGCCCCGAGAUGAGUUCUCCCUGACCCUUUAAGGGUCCUGAAGGAACGUUGAAGACGACGACGUUGAUAGGCCGGGUGUGUAAGCGCAGCGAUGCGUUGAGCUAACCGGUACUAAUGAACCGUGAGGCUUAACCUUACAACGCCGAAGCUGUU